CCAUCCAAACCAUCUAAAGGCAUUAAAUCCAAAUGUCGGCCACCCGAUUCUUUUUUAUCUUCUUCAUUUGACCAAGCAACUCACUAGCUAAUGUAGCAGCCCAUUCGCUGAUCAGAGCCACUCGUUUGGUGGGCCAGUAACCCAAAAAGCUAUCCCUUGUUGCUGAUCAGAGCCAUGUAAACAGGGUUCUGGUAGCCGUUAAUGAUCAACCCAUUUAGUUCGUUGUCGAAUGUAACUAAUCCCGCAAUUAGUUGCAUUUGAAAACUCUAGAAUGAUUUUAGGAGGGGCUAUAUAAGCUACAUUUUAGGGAAGCUCAUUCUUGAAAUAGAAAGGAAAAUCAGAAGGAGAGGGAGUGAGUUUUACGCCGCUGCUAGUGUCGCACUGGGUCAGGUCGACUCAGUUCGAGUCGAGCGCUGGGGAUAAGUCCAGACUUCUUCUGGUCUGGAAGUGUGUGGAAAAGAGAAGAAAGAAGAAGAUGAGUCAAGAAAGAAAGAUCAGAAGUAAGAGAGGGCUCAAGAUCGGGUUCGAGUUAGUGCCUCACCGAGUUGGGCCGGAUCUUGGGUUGAGUUGAUCAUGGCUGGAUUGAGUUCCGACUCAGUCUGGGUCUUCCCUGAGUAAAAGGAGAGAGUAUUAUGUGGGCUGUGAUAAAGCUAUUGGAAGCGAUCAAGGUCGGGGAGUGACUCGCUGGUUCGAGUUGUUGCUAAGUCAAGAAGAUUCUACUUAAGAUUGAAUCAGGUCAAGUUUUGGUCCAGAAACCUUGCUGGACAGAAGAGAAGAAGAUGAAAGAAUGGAAGAGGAAUGGAGAAAGAUAGAAGAGGGGAAGAGGAUCAUGUGGCCUUACCAAGUUGACUCAGAGACUCAGCAACUCACCACAUCCAUAUUUGAGUUGGACUCCACUUUGGGGCGGUGUUGUUGGUCGAGUUAGUCCAGUAACAUCUUGGGUUUGCUUGGGGACAGAUUCUGGCAGAUGCUCGAGUCAACACGGGUUGAGUUUAGUGGAGCUUAAAUUGAGUCAACUCGGUAAUAACUGAAUCUGCCGUAUGAUGUGUUGUCCUGUCCAGCAAAUCGGAGUCGGUCAUGUUUAGUAUCAGGGAAAUAUUGUUUUCCACUCACUAUUUGAGCCUGGUUUCAAAGUUGAGUCGCCCAGUCAACAAUCGAGUUUGGUAGCCCAAGGAAGGCAUCUGUACUCAAUGGCUUGAAAUCGAAAGUGAAAUCACUCAAGGGAGACUGGUCCCAAGGCGAGAGGUGGUCCAUCUUGUGUAGAGACGUCCUUGAUGGGCCGAAUGCAUGAUAAUCUCUCAUUCUAAUGCAGUUGCUUGACUGCUUGGCAGCUGCAUUGGCACAUUCAACAUAUGGGUACUCCAAGGUCACAAGCUCCAACAAGCACAUGCCAAAAGCAUAUAUAUCUACCAACUCAUUGUAUUCUUCCUCAUAAAGCUCUGGUGCCAUGAACUCCGGAGUCCCU